rnacentral:rRNA from 1 species
GCAACUGGCAAGUUAGAGUACCGAAGAGGGGGGUGCAUCCCGAUGUAGCGUGAAAUGCGUAGAUAUCGGGAGUACACCUGUGCGAUGGCGGCCUCAUGGUCGGAUACUGACGAUGAGACGCGAAAGCGUGGGAGCAUACAGGAUUAGAUACCUGGUAGUCCACGCUGUAAACGAUGCGCACUAGGUGUCCGGGGUAUUGACCCCCUGGGUGCCGCAGCUAACGCAUUAAGUGCCCCGCGUGGGGAGUACGGUCGCAAGAUUAAAACUCAAAGGAAUUGACGGGGGCCCGCACAAGCGGUGGAGCAUGUGGUUCAAUUUGACGCAACGCGAAGAACCUUACCUGGGCUAGACAACGGUGGACCGUCCUAGAAAUAGGAUUUUCCCUUCGGGGACUGCCGGUCCAGGUGCUGCAUGGCUGUCGUCAGCUCGUGCCGUGAGGUGUUGGGUUAAGUCCCGCAACGAGCGCAACCCUUGUCUUUAGUUGCCACCAUUCAGUUGGGCACUCUAGGGAGACUGCCGGCGUUAAGCCGGAGGAAGGUGGGGACGACGUCAAGUCAUCAUGGCCCUUAUGUCCAGGGCCACACACGUGCUACAAUGGGCGGUACAAAGGGUCGCAAACCCGCGAGGGGGAGCCAAUCCCAAAAAGCCGCUCUCAGUUCGGAUUGGAGUCUGCAACUCGACUCCAUGAAGUUGGAAUCGCUAGUAAUCGCGGAUCAGCACGCCGCGGUGAAUACGUUCCCGGGCCUUGCACACACCGCCCGUCACACCAUGGAAGCCAGCUGUACCGGAAGUCGGUGCGCCAACCCGCAAGGGAGGUAGCCGCCUAUGGUAUGACUGGUGACUGGGGUGAAGUCGUAACAAGGUAACCA